rnacentral:rRNA from 1 species
UACGAGGGGGGCGAGCGUUGUUCGGAAUUAUUGGGCGUAAAGGGUGCGUAGGCGGUUUGGUAAGUCUGAUGUGAAAUCUAUGGGCUCAACUCAUAGUCUGCAUCGGAAACUGCCGGGCUUGAGUAUGGGAGAGGUGAGUGGAAUUCCUGGUGUAGCGGUGAAAUGCGUAGAUAUCAGGAGGAACACCUGUGGCGAAAGCGGCUCACUGGACCAUAACUGACGCUGAUGCACGAAAGCGUAGGGGAGCAAACAGG